rnacentral:rRNA from 1 species
CUUCGGGUGGUGGAAAGUGGCAGACGGGUGAGUAACGCGUGGGAACGUGCCUUUCGGUUCGGGAUAACCCAGGGAAACUUGGGCUAAUACCGGAUACGCCCUCCGGGGGAAAGAUUCAUUGCCGAAAGAUCGGCCCGCGUCGGAUUAGCUAGUUGGUGGGGUAAAAGCCUACCAAGGCGACGAUCCGUAGCUGGUCUGAGAGGAUGACCAGCCACACUGGGACUGAGACACGGCCCAGACUCCUACGGGAGGCAGCAGUGGGGAAUAUUGGACAAUGGGCGCAAGCCUGAUCCAGCCAUGCCGCGUGGGUGAAGAAGGCCCUAGGGUUGUAAACCCCUUUCAGCGGGGAAGAUAAUGACGGUACCCGUAGAAGAAGCCCCGGCUAACUCCGUGCCAGCAGCCGCGGUAAUACGGAGGGGGCUAGCGUUG